CCAUCUCAGUUCGGAUUGCAGGCUGCAACUCGCCUGCAUGAAGCUGGAAUUGCUAGUAAUCGCGGAUCAGCAAGCCGCGGUGAAUACGUUCCCGGGCCUUGUACACACCGCCCGUCACACCAUGAGAGUCGGGAACACCCGAAGUCCGUAGUCUAACCGCAAGGGGGCGCGGCCGAAGGUGGGUCCGGUAAUUGGGGUGAAGUCGUAACAAGGUAUC
rnacentral:rRNA from 1 species